rnacentral:rRNA from 1 species
UACGUAGGGGGCAAGCGUUAUCCGGAUUCAUUGGGCGUAAAGCGCGCGUAGGCGGCUUGUUAAGCGAGAUGUGAAAACCGGGGGCUUAACCCGCGGCCUGCAUCUCGAACUGGCAGGCUUGAGUUUGGUAGAGGAGUGUGGAAUUCCCAGUGUAGCGGUGAAAUGCGCAGAUAUUGGGAGGAACACCAGUGGCGAAGGCGGCACUCUGGGCCACAACUGACGCUGAGGCGCGAAAGCUAGGGGAGCAAACAGG